rnacentral:rRNA from 1 species
AGAGUUUGAUCAUGGCUCAGAGCGAACGCUGGCGGCAGUGCUUAACACAUGCAAGUCGAGCGGGCGUAGCAAUACGUCAGCGGCAGACGGGUGAGUAACGCGUGGGAACAUACCUUUUGGUUCGGAACAACACAGGGAAACUUGUGCUAAUACCGGAUAAGCCCUUACGGGGAAAGAUUUAUCGCCGAAAGAUUGGCCCGCGUCUGAUUAGCUAGUUGGUGAGGUAACGGCUCACCAAGGCGACGAUCAGUAGCUGGUCUGAGAGGAUGAUCAGCCACAUUGGGACUGAGACACGGCCCAAACUCCUACGGGAGGCAGCAGUGGGGAAUAUUGGACAAUGGGCGCAAGCCUGAUCCAGCCAUGCCGCGUGAGUGAUGAAGGCCCUAGGGUUGUAAAGCUCUUUUGUGCGGGAAGAUAAUGACGGUACCGCAAGAAUAAGCCCCGGCUAACUUCGUGCCAGCAGCCGCGGUAAUACGAAGGGGGCUAGCGUUGCUCGGAAUCACUGGGCGUAAAGGGUGCGUAGGCGGGUCUUUAAGUCAGGGGUGAAAUCCUGGAGCUCAACUCCAGAACUGCCUUUGAUACUGAAGAUCUUGAGUUCGGGAGAGGUGAGUGGAACUGCGAGUGUAGAGGUGAAAUUCGUAGAUAUUCGCAAGAACACCAGUGGCGAAGGCGGCUCACUGGCCCGAUACUGACGCUGAGGCACGAAAGCGUGGGGAGCAAACAGGAUUAGAUACCCCGGUAGUCC